CCUACGGGUGGCAGCAGUGGGGAAUAUUGCACAAUGGGGGAAACCCUGAUGCAGCGACGCCGCGUGAGUGAAGAAGUAUUUCGGUAUGUAAAGCUCUAUCAGCAGGGAAGAAAAUGACGGUACCUGACUAAGAAGCCCCGGCUAACUACGUGCCAGCAGCCGCGGUAAUACGUAGGGGGCAAGCGUUAUCCGGAUUUACUGGGUGUAAAGGGAGCGUAGGUGGCAUGGUAAGCCAGAAGUGAAAACCCGGGGCGCAACCCCGCGGAUUGCUUUUGGAACUAUCAGGCUGGAGUGCUGGAGGGGUAAGCGGAAUUCCUAGUGUAGCGGUGAAAUGCGUAGAUAUUAGGAGGAACACCGGUGGCGAAGGCGGCUUACUGGACAGAAACUGACACUGAGGCUCGAAAGCGUGGGGAGCAAACAGGAUUAGAUACCCUAGUAGUC
rnacentral:rRNA from 1 species